rnacentral:rRNA from 1 species
GAUGAACGCUGGCGGCGUGCCUAAUACAUGCAAGUCGAGCGAACAGACGAGGAGCUUGCUCCUCUGACGUUAGCGGCGGACGGGUGAGUAACACGUGGAUAACCUACCUAUAAGACUGGGAUAACUUCGGGAAACCGGAGCUAAUCCCGGAUAAUAUAUUGAACCGCAUGGGUCAAUGGUGAAAGACGGUUUUGCUGUAAGUUAUAGAUGGAUCUGCGCUGCUUUGGCUAGUUGGUAAGGUAAAGGCUUUUCAAGGCAACUAUGCGUAGGCGAGCUGUUAGGGGGAUCGGCCACCCGGGAACUGGAACGGCGUCCAUGGUCCUACGGUAGGGAGCAGAAGGGAAUCGGCCGCAGUAGUCGAAAGCCUUACGGAGCAGCCCCGCGUGAGUGAUGAAGGUCUUCGGAUCGUAAAACUCUGUUAUUGGGGAAGAACAAAUGUGGAAGUAACUAUGCACGGCUUGACGGUACCGAGUAAGAAAGCCACGGCUAACUACGUG